ensembl:lincRNA
CUGGCCAACAUGGUGACACCCCAUCUCUACUAAAAAUAUAAAAAUUAGCUGGGUGUGGUGGUACACACCUGUAAUCCUAGCACUUUGGGAGGCCAAGGCGGGUGGAUCAUAAGGUCGGGAGUAACUUCCUAUUUUACAGAUGAGUGAACUGAGCCUUUGAGACUCAGUUCCCCCAAUGAGAAGUGACACUAGCACAUUCCUUGGCAUCCUCAGACCACAUGCCCUAAGAUCUACCCUCGGAGGGGCCCAUGACAGGAAGCCUGCCCGGAAGUGGCGGCCCCGGGCCACGGCCCCGCACCGCCUGGACAAGGAGUUGUGUUUCUGGGGCAGCCGGGGCCCGGUCUUGCCGGCGCCCGCCGCCCGCCGCAGCCUGGGCGACUACUGGCUGAGCCCGCAGCGCCGCCACCCUCCGGGUGCCGCCUGGCGCUGGCCCGCACGCAACCUGUUACUGCUGCCCGGGGCCACCGGCCUGGCCGACGUGCCCUCAGCGCGCUGGCCAAGCUGCUACGGCGCGCGCCCGAGACUCACGUGGAAGCACCGAUGGCAGAAUAUUAACUACUAUUUUCUGGGCAAAAGGAAGAGACAUCUAGUUCCCUUGCACCCGUGAGAGCCGGGACUUGGGGAGACAGGCUUCAGGCUCCAUCGCACGAUGAUCCUGGGGCCGACUUGUGCCAAGGCUGGGCUAAGAGGGAAGACGGCCUGGAUGCGCAGCGUGAUCUUGAGUCCCCUCUCUGUGGAUGACAAUGAGUUACCUUUGCCCUCCUUCCUGAGAUCUCUAUGGUUCUGCCCUUCAUUCUCCAAAUAAAAUCGCCGUGGCCUCACUCUGGCUCUCUCUACUUUGAGGGGAUGAUCUCGGUUUUUCCCAUUGACACACACUGAGUUGGCCAAACCUACAGGGCUGGGAGAGCCUCUGCCAUCACCCCUUGACCUUCCACCGUGCCCACCCCAACCAUGAGCUCCCAGGGAGGAGACUGGAUGAAAGAGGCCUGGUUCCUACUCUCCUGACUCUCGAAGUGCCACGGAAAGAGGAGACAUGCACCAGCUGAGUACAGUGUCACAGGAGGGUGACAUUAGUUUGGGGCACAGUGGGUCAGGAAAGUCUUCUGGAGGGGUCCCUGGAGCUGGAUCUUGACAGGUGGGCGGGCACUGGGGUAGGCAUGCCCGGGGAGCCGCAUUCCAGGCAGAGGGGGCAGCGUGCAGAAAGGUUUGGGGAUUUGUGAGACUGGCAGCCAAGCGGGCUCUCCCUAAAAUGAGGCCAGUUAGGGCAUUGCUUCAAAGACCUUGAAAGCCAGUACAAGGGGUUGUCCAGGCAGAAACAGGGAGCCAUGAACACGUUUAAAGCAGGGGAGGGGCUGGGUGCGGUGGCUCACGCCUGUAAUCCCAGCACUUCGGGAGGCCGGGGUGGGUGGAUCUCUUGAGGUCAGGAGUUCGAGACAGCCUGGCCAACACGGUGAAACCCCGUCUCUACUAAAAAUACAAAAUAGCUGGGCGUGGUGGCAUGCACUUGUAAUUCCAGCUACUCGGGAGGCUGAGGCAGGAGAAUCACUUGAACCCAGGAGGUGGGGGUUGUAAUGAGCCAAGAUCACACCACUGCAUUCCAGCCUGGGUGAUAGAGCGAGACUCUGUCUCAAAAAAGUAAUAAAUAAAUAAAUAAACAAAUAAAUAAAGCAGGGGAGGGACGCGGCCUGGCGAUUGGUCCCCGGCCCUCAGUUAGGUCCGAGGCCUAG